rnacentral:rRNA from 1 species
UACGAAGGGGGCGAGCGUUGUUCGGAUUUACUGGGCGUAAAGGGCGCGUAGGCGGUUCGUACAGUCAGACGUGAAAUUCCUGGGCUCAACCUGGGGGCUGCGUUUGAUACGUGCGGACUUGAGUGCGGAAGAGGGUCGUGGAAUUCCUGGUGUAGCAGUGAAAUGCGUAGAUAUCAGGAGGAACACCGAUGGCGAAGGCAGGUCUCUGGGCUGACACUGACGCUCAUGCACGAAAGCGUGGGGAGCAAACAGG